rnacentral:rRNA from 1 species
AGUGAACGCUGGCGGUAGGCCUAACACAUGCAAGUCGAACGGCAGCACAGUAAUAGCUUGCUCUUACGGGUGGCGAGUGGCGGACGGGUGAGGAAUACAUCGGAAUCUACUUUUUCGUGGGGGAUAACGUAGGGAAACUUACUCUAAUACCGCAUACGACCUACGGGUGAAAGCAGGGGAUCUUCGGACCUUGCGCGAUUGAAUGAGCCGAUGUCGGAUUAGCUAGUUGGCGGGGUAAAGGCCCACCAAGGCGACGAUCCGUAGCUGGUCUGAGAGGAUGAUAAGCCACACUGGAACUGAGACACGGUCCAGACUCCUACGGGAGGCAGCAGUGGGGAAUAUUGGACAAUGGGCGCAAGCCUGAUCCAGCCAUACCGCGUGGGUGAAGAAGGCCUUCGGGUUGUAAAGACCUUUUGUUGGGAAAGAAAAGCAGCAGGUUAAUACCCCGCUGUUCUGACGGUACCCAAAGAAUAAGCACCGGCUAACUUCGUG